rnacentral:miRNA from 1 species
GACGUCGAUAUUCGACGUCAUAAACACGAUCAACUUUGGUGUUUAUGACGUCGAUAUUCGACGUCAUAAACAGGAUCAACUUUGGUGCGUCGAUAUUCGACGUCAUAAACACAAUCAACUUAGGUGUUUAUGACGUCGAUAUUCGACGUCAUAAACACGAUCAACUUAGGUGUUUAUGACGUCGAUAUUCGAAGUC